rnacentral:rRNA from 1 species
CCUACGGGAGGCAGCAGUGAGGAAUAUUGGUCAAUGGACGCGAGUCUGAACCAGCCAAGUAGCGUGAAGGAUGACUGCCCUCUGGGUUGUAACCUUCUUUUUUAAAGGAAUAAAACGAGGCACGUGUGCCUUUUUGCAUGUGCUUUAUUAAUAGCGAUCGGCUAACUCCGUGCCAGCAGCCGCGGUAAUACGGAGGAUCCGAGAGUUAUCCGGAUUUAUUGGGUUUAAAGGGAGCGUAGAUGGGUUUUUAGGUCAGUUGUGAAAGUUUGCGGCUCAACCGUAAAAUUGCAUUUGAUACUGGCAGUCUUGAGUACAGUUGAGGUAAGCGGAAUUCGUGGUGUAGCGGUGAAAUGCUUAGAUAUCACGAAGAACCCCGAUUGCGAAGGCAGCUUACUAAACUGUGACUGACAUUGAUGCUCGAAAGUGUGGGUAUCAAACAGGAUUAGAUACCCCGGUAGUC